rnacentral:rRNA from 1 species
AACGAACGCUGGCGGCAUGCCUAACACAUGCAAGUCGAACGAGACCUUCGGGUCUAGUGGCGCACGGGUGCGUAACGCGUGGGAACCUGCCCUUAGGUUCGGAAUAACUCCCCGAAAGGGGUGCUAAUACCGGAUAAUGUCUUCGGACCAAAGAUUUAUCGCCUUUGGAUGGGCCCGCGUUGGAUUAGCUAGUUGGUAGGGUAAAAGCCUACCAAGGCGACGAUCCAUAGCUGGUCUGAGAGGAUGAUCAGCCACACUGGGACUGAGACACGGCCCAGACUCCUACGGGAGGCAGCAGUGGGGAAUAUUGGACAAUGGGCGAAAGACUGAUCCAGCAAUGCCGCGUGAGUGAUGAAGGCAUUAGGGUUGUAAAGCUCUUUUACCCGGGAUGAUAAUGACAGUACCGGGAGAAUAAGCUCCGGCUAACUCCGUG